AUAUUCUUUAAAGAUGACCCUGUGAGCCACCGCUGCACAGCCCCUCCCCGCAGAAAACCUACAGCCUUUGCAGAAUCCCCCUGGCUUUCUGGACCUGAUUCCCAUCUGGCCUGUCCCGGGAGCCCUUUCUUCCUCACUUGGUGAGACCCCUCUCUAACAAGGGGGAUUGCGUCCAGGCCGAGGUGGGGAGAGCCGCAGACCGGAACAGGCACUGAGGCCCUGACGGGCUGUCCCCGCUCCAGCCCACAGUCGUGAGGGAGGUGGACACAUGAACGGACCCUGGCCUGGGGAGGAAGAGGAGGCCGGCGGCUCAGCCAGGACUGGAAAGGCCUUCCGGAUGCCAGGGUUGAGAGCAGCCCACCUGACUCAGCCCGUGCCACCUGCCAAGAGUGUUGUGAUGAGGAGCGUAACCCAGCUCAGCCAGACACUGAACCAGUUGUUACAAAUGAAAGAUGAGUGUUUCCACUGGGCAGGGGCAAGGGGCCGUGGAAAUGUAGUUGGGGAGACUCACCUGGUUGGGAGUCAGCGGAGGAAGCCUAAGUGGACGUUGGCUGGGGAGGAGGAGGGGUGUGCCGAGGAGGGGAGCCCGCUGGAGGGACCUGGGCAAGUGGGGAGGGUGCCCAGGCCGGCGUGUGUUGUCUGGUGGAUGGGACAGCCUUGAGAAAUGUUGUGUUUAUAAAAGUUGUUCACGGAAACACGUUCCUUUACCAAUUAGCUCCCGUUGGCCAAAGCACAGUUAAUGUUCGGAAAAAGCAAAUCUCCAGAAUGUUUUCCCCUUUUCUGUAGUUUUUAUUCUCUUUUCCAUUUCCACUUGUGAUUUUUCUGAGCCCGGGGACAUUUUGGGAGGGAUAUAAAAGGAUCUAAAACCUAGACAAUAGAGCAAACGCCUUUUGUUAAGUUGCUUUACCUGCCGUGUUAUUUGGUUUCCGGCUUUUAGCUAUGACUGCUGAGGGUGGAUUACAAAAGCGCUAACUCAGAGGACCUUCUCACUUACACCAGGAGGCUCCAUCUCCCGGGAAGAGGGAGGCCAGGCCAAUUUACACGGGAACCUGGCUUGAGUCUGAGUUCUGGGGUCAGGACCCUUAUCCUGCCCCACCUGGAGGCUUGCAGGACUGGAAG
rnacentral:lncRNA from 1 species